AUUGAACGCUGGCGGCAUGCCUUACACAUGCAAGUCGAACGGUAACAGGUCUUCGGAUGCUGACGAGUGGCGAACGGGUGAGUAAUACAUCGGAACGUGCCCGAUCGUGGGGGAUAACGGAGCGAAAGCUUUGCUAAUACCGCAUAAGAUCUAAGGAUGAAAGCAGGGGACCGCAAGGCCUUGCGCGAACGGAGCGGCCGAUGGCAGAUUAGGUAGUUGGUGGGGUAAAGGCUUACCAAGCCUACGAUCUGUAGCUGGUCUGAGAGGACGACCAGCCACACUGGGACUGAGACACGGCCCAGACUCUACGGGAGGCAGCAGUGGGAAUUUGGACAAUGGGCGCAGCUGAUCCAGCCAUGCCGCGUGCAGAAGGCCUUCGGGUUGUAAACUGCUUUUGUACGGACGAAAAGACUUUCUAUAAAGGGGGUUCAUGACGGUACCGUAAGAUAAGCACCGGCUAACUACGUGCCAGCAGCCGCGGUAAUACGUAGGGUGCGAGCGUUAAUCGGAAUUACUGGGCGUAAAGCGUGCGCAGGCGGUGAUGUAAGACAGAUGUGAAAUCCCCGGGCUCAACCUGGGAACUGCAUUUGUGACUGCAUCGCUGGAGUGCGGCAGAGGGGGAUGGAAUUCCGCGUGUAGCAGUGAAAUGCGUAGAUAUGCGGAGGAACACCGAUGGCGAAGGCAAUCCCCUGGGCCUGCACUGACGCUCAUGCACGAAAGCGUGGGGAGCAAACAGGAUUAGAUACCCUGGUAGUCCACGCCCUAAACGAUGUCAACUGGUUGUUGGGUCUUCACUGACUCAGUAACGAAGCUAACGCGUGAAGUUGACCGCCUGGGGAGUACGGCCGCAAGGUUGAACUCAAAGGAAUUGACGGGGACCCGCACAAGCGGUGGAUGAUGUGGUUUAAUUCGAUGCAACGCGAAAAACCUUACCCACCUUUGACAUGGACGGAAUCCUUUAGAGAUAGAGGAGUGCUCGAAAGAGAGCCGUAACACAGGUGCUGCAUGCUGUCGUCAGCUCGUGUCGUGAGAUGUUGGGAAGUCCCGCAACGAGCGCAACCUUGCAUAGUGCUACGAAAGGGCACUCUAAUGGACUGGGUGACAAACCGGAGAAGGUGGGGAUGACGUCAAGUCCUCAUGGCCCUUAUAGGUGGGGCUACACACGUCAUACAAUGGCUGGUACAGAGGGUUGCCAACCCGCGAGGGGGAGCCAAUCCCAUAAAGCCAGUCGUAGUCCGGAUCGCAGUCUGCAACUCGACUGCGUGAAGUCGGAAUCGCUAGUAAUCGCGGAUCAGAAUGUCGCGGUGAAUACGUUCCCGGGUCUUGUACACACCGCCCGUCACACCAUGGGAGCGGGUUCUGCCAGAAGUAGUUAGCCUAACCGCAAGGAGGGCGAUUACCACGGCAGGGUUCGUGACUGGGGUG
rnacentral:rRNA from 1 species